UUCUUGCUUGCCAGCACAACGUUUGGUUCUUGCCAUGCUUCUUGUUUCUCUUCCUUUCACGUUCUUGUUAUGGGGUUCUCUUUUUGUUUACUUAUCUUAUUGGUGGGUUGAAUUCAAUUUGAAUUGGAGAAUUGGAUAUGCUUCUAGUUAUCUUUUGUUUCUUUUUUUCCUUUUCCAUAAUGAUAUCAUGUGCCACUAUGAUAUGAUUUUUUUUUUUUGUAAGAAUUCAUCUUAAAUUGCGCAUGCUGGAAGAUUUACGGAUAAUGCUUCUUGACUGGAUGUGUUUAAAGUGGUAAUGAGCAUAGAUUGCACCAACCAUUUUGAAAGAGGAUAGUACAGGCUCAAAUUUGAGUGCUUGAUAUUCUUAAUGAUGUUUUGACGGCUAUUUUCUAAUUUAUGUCCUACUAAGUUCAGCAUUUGUCAGCAUUGGUUCUUGGAGCAAUAACCGUGGAUCUAUGCCAUUUUAGGCAGUCAGAGAUAUGAAAAUGCAGUGACGUUGAAAAAGGGGAUUUUUAGCAGCAAAAACAGCCAAGUUACUUACAAAUACAGGUGGAGCACUGAAAAUUUCUAAAAUAGCAGCCCAGCAAUAAGGGAAUCAGCAGGAGUGUGAUUGGUUCCAGAUUAAAGCCUGAUGAAACACGAGGGAUGAGAGCCAUGGAGAUAACAUUGGUUUCUCUGAUAUACAACCUGGUCUUGUACUUCUUUGUUGUUAUAUAUUGUAGUUUGAUAAGGAUGGGGUUGGGUAAUCAUGUAGCUAGUCAGAUCAGAGGUUCCAGUCUUUUAUCGGAUUUAUCUCUGUUUUAUUUUUAAAGUUUACUACCACUCAAACGUGUACAAAUGCAGAUUUUAGAAAUGAAAAAUAUCGGUGAUUCAAAUGAGUUUGGCAGGUAGAGUUUGAAAAAAAAA